AGUGCCAUUAGCCCCGCUCCACGGCUCCGCGCCACCAGCAGCUCCCAGAGAAGAGCCGCGUUACGCCCGGAGGGCCGGCAAGGAAAGCUGCCGCCGUGGGACGACGGCUUCGUGACUCCCCACAUCGGACCACCCCCCGCACGGCUCCGCCUCGCCCCGCGGCCCUUUGUCUGCCGUUAAUUCACCCCUGGUCGCCCUCACCGCACCGCUCCCCAGCUCGGGGCGAUCAGGGGACACCAAGAAGUGGAUCUUUUCACCCCUCAGAAGGGGCCAGGACCCCUCCAGUCCUUACUUGUACAGAUCAGGACAGCAGCAGGAUGCUCCAAGAAGACCACUUCUUCCCAGCUGCUCUUUCUGAACCACAUCCACCCCUCACGUUGGCGUGACAUGGUCAGUGUAAGGCUGGCUUGGUUUGUACUUCUCCUGCCAGUGCCAAUUUGCUGUAAUUAUUGCAAGUCAGGUAUCUUUGCUCAGUAUCCAGCUGCUCUGAAUAACAAUCCAACAGCAGCGAUGCACACUGACGAUAACAGGCUGCUUGGGCCCUUACUAAGCAGGAGGCUUUUAAAAGCAAGUUGCAUUUAGCUUCCAUUGCAUUGGAUGGUUGUGUGCUAUCAAACAUCUUUUCAAUAUCUCACCAGCAGUCAGUCUGCAUAUGAAACAGGUUCAGAAAUCUGUUCAAGAAUCGGGCAAUAAAUAACUAUGCUGAUCAGCAUGUAGCAAUGGCAAUUUCCUUGGGCGUCAAAAUAGAUAAAGCAAUAGCAUUUCAAACACGGGGACUCUAUUUUACUUGAUGAAAGGGUCACAUUCUGCAAUCUGUCUUUAUUACACCAGUCAUGGCAAUAAAAGGAGACAGAAAUGCAGAUCCUUGAUAAAGUGAACAUUGUAAUACAAACAAAUCAGCGCAGCACGGUGUAAAGCAACUGUGUGUUUGACACUGCAGCAAAGAUAAGGCAAACAGGUACAGAAUUUUGCAGGAAAGAUGCUAAAACGAAAGGGCAACCAGUUUUGCUUGAACUCCUACAGCACAAAAAGAGCCAUGCGAGGGGUGGCUGAGGAGCAGAGGAUGCAGAGCCCUCCUGAAUGCAGCACUUCCUUUGGCCUUGCAGCUGGCCAGGCCGUGGGCCUGAUGAGCCAGCAGCUAACCAUCCCUAAUGUCUGCAGGCAUCUUUUGCUACUGUUUUAUUCCAUAUUCACUAAUACAUUUUAUAUGACUAGGAGCCAUAGCGUCCUCGCUCCUCUGCUUCUCUCUGCUGGUUUAACAGGUGGCAUCCAUGCUUUCACUGGAGCGAUGCCCUUUAUUUUCCAGCUAUUUAUUCAGUUGUCUUUUAGAUUCUGCAGUUUCUCACUUGAGUGACAAAUGAAUGGCAUGUAAGAAACCAAAAAGCCUUAUCUCCCGACACCAGCCGCUGUUCUGUCUGGACUAAGCUGAUGGCACCUGAGGGUAUGGAGAAGAAGUAUGUGAAAUUUGUAUUAAGCAUUUUCAUACAGAAUGUGUUUUCUUUGUGUUGGAGUUCGGGUCCUGCUGGAGUCUGGCACUCACUCCACCACAUGUUUUUUGUACCCGAGUUUACAAGGCUGCAAACUAACUGAUCUUUUCCUCUGGCUUGUCCAGCCACUGUCACUAAUUAAAACAUGUCAUCCAUGAGAAAUCUAAUUAUCCUGACUGUACAGGAGAGCGAGCUGACGAAAGGGUACCGCUGGCAGAUCAGAGCUGUAGCAUGUGUAUAUUCUUUGGCAGAGGAGAACUGUUCCUUUUUCUCCUUUAGAAACAAAACCCCAGAGCCCAGAGGAGUCCUGGGUUAUCUGUUCCCCUAACAGACCUGCUUGUGUACUACUAGAAGACGCACUGGUCGUUUGGGACAUCAGAAUAUGAACUAUCUAUGAAUGCCUGAGGUCAAGUGGGGGCUGAGUCUCUUACCAGAAAUCUGUCUUGGAUCUGUGAAAACUUCCCCAGAAGUCUUUACGUUAAACUAGAGUAUGAUUUAGGAUGCUUUUUUGUUGCAACAAAUGAAAACAUCCUGAAAAAUAUAUUAUAGUUUGGUGCAUCUCAUCCAAAACUUCUUGAUUGCUUUGAAUCACAAAAUGAUUCAAUGGUACAGAAGCAGGUAUUUUUAAUACAGGACAUUAUAGGGAAGUGAGGAGCAUUGGGGGGAAUGACUGUUUCUCUACCUCUGCUGCUGCAGGAUCUCAGCUCCUUGCAGUGCCGCAGAGCAGCAUGAGGUGGCGCUGGCUGCCUUUGCAAUGGUACUGUCUGACUUUGCAGCGCAGCACGCCUUGCCACGGGACAGUGGGGUCUGCAAAGCUGGGCUCAUUUGUUCAUGCAGGGGAGGUAAUGAUGGGGAAUGAUAUGGGGAAGAAUAGAAAGAAAUGAUGCUCGCAGCCCUUAACAUCUUGAUUACAGAAAACAAAGGUAAGAAUAGUUGAACUACUGUGAUUACGUGGCGAGUUACAGUGUUUGCUAGUGUUAAACUGCAAAGCCAUGUUAUACAAGAUUAAACCUUGUAAGCUCUACUUUCACUGGUAGUCAUAAGUAGAUGUAGACAGCAACUUUAGGGCAAGAAGGGUUCUUCCUGUUAGUCCAGAUUGACUUAGGUUAAAACCAAGGGAUUCUAAUUAAUUCCUUUCAGAACUAGUCUAUAUCUACUAGACCAGCUGACAAACACCAUUUAAAAAUGAAUGAAGGCCAAAUAUUAGAAGAGUUUUAAUUUGUGCUAGCUGAGCAAGUGGCACCCUAUGUUUUGUGCAGUGAAUUUUGCAUUCCUUUGGUAGAACAAAAAGGUCACACUGCCUCGUACUGCAUCACAUAGGAAACAAUCCUGCAGCACCAUAGAAGCACUAAGGUAAAGCUCAAGGCCAGAUGUUAUAUGGAUUCAUUUACAAAAUAAAACAGUGUUUCCCAUCAUCACACCUACAUGGUCUGAAGUAUGAGGACACAGGUGUCCAAGCAACCCGUCCAGCAUUUGUGCAUCUGGAAGGACAUCUCAUGGAUCAGGUGGACAAGAUUCCUUGUUGUGAAAAAAUGUAGUGUUCUCCUUAGGCUGAUAAGCAUUUGAUGAUUUUGGAUAAGCUUUUCUGCACACAGAGGAGCUGACAAUGAUUUUGAUUUUGCCACACCGCUGUGCUGCAUUUCAGUGAUUAGAAUUUACUUACAAUCCUUUGUCUUCCUGUGGGGGGAUGUUAUAAGGAUCCAGCCCCAUUAGAAUUGCAGCAUGCUUGGGUUUGAAAGGGAACUCUGGGGUCAGUCCAGUGCCACACCCCUGCCCAAAGCAGAGUUGAUUAAAACAUAUUGUUUGAAAUCUUAUCUAGUUGGGUUUUGAGUGGAGACUCCACAACCACUGUGUUUGACCAGCCUUUCAGUGAGAAACUUUUUCCUUAUGUUUAAAUGGAAUUUCCCAUUCCUCAGCUUCUCACUAUUGUCCUUUAAUGACUCGAGUCCUUGUUUUAGUCUUGAAGUAGGCUGUAAUUUGUUUUAGAAUCUCCUUUUUCCCUUCCUUGGCCUGGCUGUGAAGUAUGCGGAAGAUGUUUGUUGGUAGACAUGCUAUGACUGUGAUGAUGUUCUAAUUGAGGUGACAUCGACACAUGCCAUUCCACUUCUUCCAUGUGUUCUGGUGCAGCUGUAUCCAGACAUUUCCAUUUUCUUUUGUCCACUGGACUCAUCCUAACAUUUCUGUUGUAAGUCUUAAUGUCAUCAGUGUCACACACAGUCAGCAGUACACAGAGACUCCCGACUAACAGGAGAAUGUUAGCAUUGUAUCACCAGGUGUCAUAGGGGAAAUGGAGGUAGCUGACUAAGAGUGAAUGCUGACAUAUUCCUUUUCACCUACCUUAGAGAAAUUAACUUAAUUGCAGAGAUAAGGGUAAUAUUCCAAGUUUAAAGCCACAAGUUCUCUCAGCUCAGUCUUAGGAAAAAGAAAUAAAAUCUUGAGUGUUAAUUUAAGAGGUUGACAAUGCGAUAAUGAAAACGACUGUUAGAACACGUCCUUGCCACACUGCUAAAACUGGUAACAAGUGGUUUCUUGAAUAUGGAAGAACAUUUGUUUUACGAGCAGGGCCCUGUAUAUAUGCUGAGAGAUUUGGAAAGAAGACUCAUGAAAUCGGGUGUAAUUGUCAGCUGCUGCUUCAGAACAUCUCUGCAUUAUUCAGAGGAAGUAGUACCCAUGUAGGAAGGUUCAUGGACACAUAAUUACUAGAACUGAUAUGUAUUCCUAUUGUGACGUGAAGUUUUUUGGAACACAGUACUCUUCAUUGCAUAUGUGAGCUUGUUGAGUGAGAUGUAAAGGGAAUAUUUAUGUACUUGAUGAUUCCUGAUACUGAUGGGAGCACAGUCCUGAAGGAAACGUACAGAAUGCCUCAUCGCUUGGGACCUGAGUGCCACAACUGAUAAAAGAAAUAUUUUGUGCUUAUUGGCCUGUGUUCGCUUUUGAGUUGAUGGAGCUUCACAGCUAGUUCUUAGGUUGGCAGCCAUCAAUACAUUGCCCUUCAAGAGAGCAGAGAAGAAAACCUGACUGAUUACAGCUCAGCAGCCCCUUGGUUUAAAGAGCCUUGUGACCUCACUGUCAGUGAGAUUGAUGAAAGGUCUACAUACCAGUAUUCGUGAUUAGGAGGCAGUGUAUAACUUGAACAAGUAUCACUAUUGUUCAAGCCUAUACAUGAACCCUUGAUUCUGAGCAGCUCUGGGGUUACCACCUGGCUCUCUGCUCUGUAAACUAACUGAGAUACUACAGUUAAAUCUCUCUGAAGGAAAUCAGGUUGUUUUCCUUACAUUGCCGCAUGUGAAAAUUAGAUUUCACGAGGCAGAAAAAGAGGGGAAUAAUUUACAGUCAUUUUCAUAUUGUAUUUUUAUUCUUAGUGUUUCCUCAUUUCACCACCAAACUGAUCGAGUUCAAUGUAACCAUGGCAGAACUGCUGAGGGAAGAAUAAAAUUCUUGGCAUUGGGCUGCUGAUGUGCUGCUGUUACACUUCUGCUGAUUGAGUAGAAUUUGGAUCUACUUUUGGCCUUCAGGCCGGUUGGCCUGCUCUGGCCAUUACCACACUAUAGAGCCCUUUAGAUUCUGUUGUUUGCAUGUGGAUUGAAGCCUGGGAUUGUUUAGGAAACUGCUACUUGACCUGAGAGAAAAUUGUAUCAUGGAUUCUUCUAAUAAUGUAGAAAAUCAGUUCCCCUGUGGAGUAACCACAGGACCUGUCACAGGAGUUGGAGCAGCUACCGGGCUGAUUGCAGGAGCUGGAGUAAUUACAGGGCUGUACCUCUGGGCACAGUGCACCUGCCCUGGGAGGAAUAUUUUUCUUUUCCUUGUUGCAAUACUUGGAGCAGCCACAGGACCCAUAGCAGGGGUUGGAGCAACUGCGGGACUCGUAGCAGAAAUUGGAAUACCAGAUCUUCCUUGAAGGAAUAUCUCUCCUUCACAGCUGACAAAAGUCACCACCACAGGGUGAAAGGCUGUGUCCCUUUUCCAAUUGCUUUGUCAAUGCCAUUUUCUGUAGAAAGAGAGCCCAGCUGCUUGGCUUCACUGACUGUUAAGUUCAGACUGCUGGUCACGGUAAGACACUAAGAAAGAGAGAAAAUGACUGCUUUCAUAUCAAAACAGUAUCUAGAUAGAUCAGGAGAGGUAUAUAUUUCCGUCAUUGACCACACCAAAACCUGGGUGAAUGCAAUAUCUAGCCUUCCUACAGAUGAAGUUUGAGCAAGUGGGUUCCUGUUGAUGGAAACAUCUCCCUCUGCUUCCCCAGAGUUGUCACAGGCACCACCAGAACUACUACUUUCCCCUUUGGCUUAUAUGAGCCUUGCAAAGAGAGACUUUAAGCUUGCUUUAAUCAUCAGUGAUUCAUCUCCCAUGGUUUGUGUCAAAUAAUAAUGAACUUUACUCUGCAUAUCUCAUUAAUGCAUGCUCUAAAUAUGGGAAAAUAAAGAGCCAUCCCUCAGCCCCACUUCAUCCUAUUCAUGCUGUAAGGAGAUGGGAAGAGCUAUGCAGGGGGACAGGUAAGCCUGGGAGCAGCAGCACGGCUGCAGCCAUUGCCUCCAUCCCCCUGCCUCUGCUCUAUUUUCCUUUCCUUAUUUGUGCCUGCUAAAUACAAGCAUUGGGCUGCACCUGCAGUAACCCACAGAACUGGGCAAAUGGAUUGUGUCCAGUGAGGCAGGGGAUGAGUCCCACCUACCCCCUCCUUACAGCCCUGAUGCCAAGCAGGAGGCAGCACAGGAGAACUUGCUGCAAAAGGAGAUGGCAGAAAGAGACGAUUCCCAAAUCUGAACUUUUCCUGUUGGAGAAAAAAUUGUUUAGGAUUUACAUCAGGUUAACAUAAGGAAGCCCCACUCCCAUGUGUGAAUUUUAAGCUAAACUCGGUUUGAAGAAGUGGCCUAAGGACACAUGGAGGCUGGGCUGCAGGUGAUUAUGUGGAAUUCUUAUAGCUGGGACGAAAAUCCAGGCUGGAGAAAUUAAUUGUUCCCUAGCAAUAAACGGGGGGAUAUUUUUCUAAAAAUAUGAUACAGACAAUUUAAUAGUCCCCUGAAGAGUAACUGACAGAGAUAUGGAGAGAAAAUGUAAUCAUAGAAGUGUGAACUAAAGGGAUUUUAAUUCUGCUCUAAGUACAAAUUUCAAUGAAGCAUCUUUUAUAACAUUGCUACCAGCUCCUUCAUCCUUGGCCAUUACACCGGUUGUCCUUCCAGGGAUGAAGGACACCUACAACACAGAGGUCUUCACAUAAUUUGAAGGUGUCUAUUACUAUUUCCUAGAAGAGAGAGCCUUGAAAUUUCACCGUAGCCUCAGUGAAUAGCAAAUAAUGCAAGACAUAACUAUCAGUUGCUUCUGGCCCAAGAGGAACUCACCUUUCUGUGAGCAGUGUGCACUGCUAGGGGUCAUAGCUGAGGCUCCCUGAGCAAGACAUGGUAUGAGAAAACAGUCAGCAGUGUGAGAGCUGCCAGAAGUUAUGGAUUGCACUGUGAGGAGAGCUGGAUUUCAUGGGUGGUUGGGCAAGAAAUAGCCCAACUUCACAGACGGCUGGAGGGAUGUAUUGGGGAGUAAUAGGGGCCCUGUGGAGAACAAAUUAGCGGUGCCUAGGGAAACACAUCCGUGGAGCUAUGGAAAUCCAAGGUGACCUAGAUAACAGCAUCAAAAUAUCAAAUUUAGGUACAGCAAGACUGAGACAGUGAGAAAAAAAAAAACAUUUAGGGAUGGGUUUAUUGGGAGAAAAUUGAGAUAGAGAGAGUGAGGUACAAGGAUGGUAGAAAGGUGUGCUAACAUAUGGGAAAAGGAAUGACAAGGUACACAGAUCUUGUGAGUGGAGCUGUCUGGUGGUGCUUUUUGGGCAGCCCAGUGCUUGAUCAGCCCAUCAUGCUCCUACAGGUGCAGGAUCAUACACCAUUUUCUGGCCAUGUCCCACCUCUGUGAGCAGGGCAACCGAGGUGGGAGGGGGAAGGGAUGCUCACCUGGCCAGUGAUCAGAUGCGUGGAUGGAUGGACUGGGCAUCCUGCUAUCAGUGUCAGUGCCUGCUGCAGGGCUGAUGGCUUUGGCAUUUACUGUUUUGAAGCCACAGCUUCAGAACACCCUAUCUACUUUAUCUGGAAGAUGGAACAGCUGUGAUGUGGCCCAACUGUACCAGAGCAAAAGCUGAGUAACUCAACUCUUUAACAGAAGUAGGAUUUACCCACUCCAGGUAGGAAAUAAACGUCUUUUAAAAUAUUUAAUGCAAGUCCUUCAUUUUCAGAUAAAGAAAGACAGUAAAGCCAAACAGAAAUACAGCUUCUUCCAGCCCUACUUCACAUCCUGACCUUUCUGCAGGGUAAGCCUUUUGGGUCAAUUGGUUCUGCUCUUAAACUCAGAGCAAAGCUGUAAAAAACGUGUGCAAAGACAGCAAUGGAUUGGAUGCAGAGUCCCGUCCCUGGCUUCAUUCCCACAUUUCACUGCACGGACAGAGCAUCCCCGUUAAGAUAAGAGUACAGCUGGCUUCACGUCAAAACAGCCUAUUUUUUUUUUAAAGCCUGGGAGAUAGCUCUAAGUUUUUUCAACUGCAGCACUGAUUAGUGCAUGGUUACAUCAUUGGUUGUAAUGAAUGUUUUGGUUGCAUCAGUGUCACUCUAGAGCACGUGUGUAAGAGUGAAUUUUCCUGGUGAUAGAGAAGUUCAGGACGUAGAAGGGGAAUGAAUGUGACUCCCUAUCUCUGAGUUCAGCACUUGCCGUCAUGUGAGGGGACGGUAAGUCUGCACAUGGCACACAUAUAUGAUAGAGGUCAAGCUCAGGAUGCCAACUAAGUACCCAGUGUUUAAAUUUACGCGUGACUUCAUGGAACUCCAGGGACGUAUGGCUACUGAAAACAGUAGAGGCUGUUUCCAUACCAAGAACAAAAUUGAUUCUGAAGCUCGGCUGUCCUGUGGACAAGCUCCCCUUCAGGAAUAACUGUAGGAUUAGAUCACAGAAAAAUAACAAGAGCCGUGGCAUGGGUCCAAGUGCUGCAACACAGUCAUCUAUCACAGAAUCACAGAAUCACUGAGGUUGGAAAAGACCAUUAAGGUCAUCUAGUCUAACCGUCAACCCAUCACCACCAUGUCCAUCACCAGCAGAACAGUGACUUUUCAGCUAUCCCGCUACAUCCACCUGCAGGUAUGAGUCACAGCCUCCUGGUUUGCCCAUCCUGACUGCUGACCCAAACCGUCCCUGUGCACUCAAAGGGAAAGGGUCUGUUUCAGUAGUAAUUAGAAGCUUUAUGGACAGAUCAACGCAAAUCAUGUGAAAUUGAAUGACUGAAAAUGUUCUGGGCCAAAUUCGUCUUUAGCAAAAUUUUUAAAGCCUGAUUUUAACGGGUAUGUAAGUGCCUCACAAGGCAGAUGGGUGCUCUGAAGAUUGUGUAGGAGCCAUUGUGUACUAAGAGUGAACUCCUGACAAUUUAAAACACUGAGAUGCGUUUGAAAAUCUCCAUUAACAUCUAAAUACCUUCGGACGCACACAGCUCAUAUUCUUAAAAUAUGAAAAUUGACUCUUGUACUACAGGAAAAUUAAAUCAUAUUCUGGGUUUAAAUCCCGCACAUACUAAGGUAGGGCUGAAACCAAUUUUUAUGGGUUUAAUUACCCAAUUAAUGGGCAAACCCAUUAAUUCAGAGACCACAGUGAUCCUUUUCUCAUAACAGAAAGGAGGAGACAAAAGUAAUUAGCAAGGGCUUGCUGCUGUUGGGCUUAUGCAACAAGUUCUGGAUAUGAAUGAGAGGAAAUACUGGUGAAUAUUAUUUAUCAGAAUGUUCUGAGGCAUUUCUGUACGGGCAUCUGGAAUGACUACUGCCCAAUUACUUUCCAGUCAUUAAGACUGGAACUAUUGGUUAAUGCAGGCUUUGAGUGCUCUGUGUAAUUUGGGCAUUCAAACUGCACCUAAAGCACAGAUGUCUAGUGAAACACUUAGUGGAGAAUCUCAAUAAUACAAUCAGUUAUAAUUAGAUUAAAAUGUUAGAGCACUUACCUUCAUGGAAUAGAGCAGUACUGUGAAAAAGAUAAAGAAGUGCACUAUGGCAUUUUACUUCCAACCGAAAUGAAACCUACUGCCUCAGCGUCAACCUCAGAACUAAAACACAAACUCAUAUAGUACAAAUGGUUUUGUAAAUGGAGCCCUAUAUAUUAAGUAAAUUAUGGCAUUAGUGUUUUUAUAUUCACCUACAUUCGCAUAACUGCCUUCUGAAGCAGUAACAUAGAUCACAAUUGGAGUGCAGCAGAUCAGACAGAUGGAGUUACCAUCCCUGAAGGUGUUCAAGAGAAGGGUAGAUGUGGUACUGACUGAUCUGGUCUUGAGUGACCACGGGCAUGGGUUGAUAGUUGGAUUAGAUGAUCUAAUCAGUCUUUCCAACCUGAAUGAGUCUACGGUUCUAUGACUCUAUGAUCAAUUAUCAAACAUUAUUCAGAAUUAAUAUUCCUCAUAUUUUUAUGCAAUACACAUAUAAAAAAAAAUAUUUACUUGUGGUCAUCAAUGUCAAUUCUGGUUUCUCAUACUGAGUACAUUUUGCUGUAAUGUGUUUCCUUACAUAAGAAAGGUAUAAAGCUUACUCAGGCAUGUGCCCGGGCACGGUAUGCUGCCUGCUCCAUCAUUAAUUCCUUGCCCAGGAGGGCCUCGGCGCUGAGCAAUAACAAAAGGAAAGCACACUGCCAGCGUAAGCUGUGAAGUGAAAUGCUUUGUUUAUAGGAUAUGAGUGCACACUGCUUGUAGGCU